rnacentral:rRNA from 1 species
GACGAACGCUGGCGGCGUGCCUAAUACAUGCAAGUCGUGCGGACCUUUUAAAAGCUUGCUUUUAAAAGGUUAGCGGCGGACGGGUGAGUAACACGUGGGCAACCUGCCUGUAAGACUGGGAUAACGCCGGGAAACCGGGGCUAAUACCAGAUCGUUUUUUCCUCCGCAUGGAGGAAAAAGGAAAGGCGGCUUCGGCUGCCACUUACAGAUGGGCCCGCGGCGCAUUAGCUAGUUGGCGGGGUAACGGCCCACCAAGGCAACGAUGCGUAGCCGACCUGAGAGGGUGAUCGGCCACAUUGGGACUGAGACACGGCCCAAACUCCUACGGGAGGCAGCAGUAGGGAAUCUUCCGAAAUGGACGAAAGUCUGACGGAGCAACGCCGCGUGAGUGAAGAAGGCCUUCGGGUCGUAAAACUCUGUUGCCGGGGAAGAACAAGUGCCGUUCGAACAGGGCGGCGCCUUGACGGUACCCGGCCAGAAAGCCACGGCUAACUACGUG